rnacentral:rRNA from 1 species
CCUGCACGUUCGGGAUAAGCCGUAGGGAAACGUGGGUCUAAUACCGGAUAGGAGCCAUUUUUAGUGUGAUGGUUGGAAAGUUUUUUCGGUGUAGGAUGAGCUCGCGGCCUAUCAGCUUGUUGGUGGGGUAAUGGCCUACCAAGGCGGCGACGGGUAGCCGGCCUGAGAGGGUGGACGGCCACAUUGGGACUGAGAUACGGCCAAG